rnacentral:ncRNA from 1 species
ACCAAGGAGUCUAACAUGUGCGCGAGCCGCGGGGCAGUACGAAACCCGUAAGGCGAAAUGAAGGUGAACGCCGGCGCGGUCCGGCGGAGGUUGGAUCCCGUCCCGUCGGGGCGGGCGCACUACCGGCCGAUCUUCUCCGCCCUGUCGGCGAGGUCGAGCGAGAGCGUGCAAGUCGGGACCCGAAAGAUGGUGAACUAUGCCUGAGGAGGUUGAAGCCAGAGGAAACUCUGGUGGAGGACCGUAGCGAUUCUGACGUGCCAAUCGAUCGUCAAAUUUGGGUAUAGGGGCGAAAGACUAAUCGAACCGUCUAGUAGCUGGUUCCCUUCGAAGUUUCCCUCAGGAUAGCUGGCGCUCUGUCGCAGUUUUAUGUGGUAAAGCGAAUGAUUAGAAU